UGUUCCUACGGGACGCAGCAGUGGGGGAUAUUGCACAAUGGGGGGAACCCUGAUGCAGCGACGCCGCGUGGGCGAUGGAGUGCUUCGGCAUGUAAAGCCCUAUCAGCAGGGAAGAAAAUGACAGUACCUGACCAAGAAGCCCCGGCUAACUACGUGCCAGCAGCCGCGGUAAUACGUAGGGGGCAAGCGUUAUCCGGAUUUACUGGGUGUAAAGGGAGUGUAGACGGUUAUGUAAGUCUGGAGUGAAAGCCCGGGGCCCAACCCCGGGACUGCGUUGGAAACUGUGUAACUGGAGUACAGGAGGG
rnacentral:rRNA from 1 species